CUCUCCUAGCUCUCGAAUCAGAGGUUGGUUAGAAUCACGGGCAUUUUCCCGAUGGACCGACGCACUUCUGGGCCGAUGGACUCUGCGCACCCGUUUUCAUUGCUGACACUGUGAUGCCCAAUCAGAUCUCUUAAGUGCGACCGUGUAGAAAAAGUUAAGUGUGGCAGAAGUGGCCAAAAGGUGGAGCUGAAAAGCUGCUGCUGCACCAGCUGUGGAGAAGUGAGGAAGAGACGGAGGAAGGUGAAAUAAACAUGAUAAGGAAAUAGAUGGAGGAACAUAAUUAGCAAGAGAGAGAUUCAAGGAUUCAGGGGAAAUGAAUGGCUGCUUUGACCACGAGCCUCUGAUGACAGCUAUGACAGCUUUGAAUUACUGUCACAUGCUGCAGUGCAACUAAGGACUAACCCAACAACGACCUGAGGAAAACCUGCUUCAGUAUCUAUAAUCAAAGUGAAAUAUAUGCAUAUAUAUCAUCUUACAUAUACGAUCAUGGUGGGCUGUCCUUCAGCCCAGCCCUAAGGGCUAAGUUGCAGUGACGUCACUGGAGUUGCUGUAGAAGAAAGGAGACGGGGAUUAUUCCAGGGGGUCCAAACAAACAAAGUCCAGCUGGAGAGGAGAUCAUCGGAGGGCGAGCAGGCUGGUGAGUAAGCGGGGUGAGUGUACCAGGGAGAGCCUCCAGGCGAGGUGGACCAGCUUGACAGAGACAGGUAAGUGAUUUGAGUGGGUAUUCCACACCUCAGCCACAGGAGUUCACACACACUGUGGAGACAGACAGUCUGGCAGAGACUGGCAGCUGGAGCUGGUCCUUGAAUUCAGGUUGGUCGUGAGGCUGAUGAAAACGAGGCGUGGAAAGUCUGUGCUCCACCCAAAAGCCUCUGCUUGGCUCCUCCUGGACUGUUACAGACUCCAAA